UUUCCUGUAUUUCUUAAAAACAAAAUAUUACCAGUUUGGAUAUUUAACAUUUGAAGGAUUUACAUUAAAAUUGUGGAUUUAAAAAGUUAUCUUUGAAGAGAGGAUUUAUACUAAAUCUGAUUUUAAACUGCUGUGAAAUAUAGUGGAAUUUAUACUGAUUGGAUUUAAUUUUGACCUGGACAGGAUUGGGACUAUUUUAUACAUAAGAUUGGAGUUUACGGCCAUUUGACAUUUUUAAGGUGUCUGCCACGAUGAUGUCCAUUGCAGACCUGGAACGGUCUUCUGCGCAAGACCGGAAGUGAUUAUCAACUAGAGCGCAUGGCAAAAAUGCGCAAAUUAUUGCAUGUCCGCACGCAUUCAGCGUAUAAUAUGUAUAAUGUACUGACUAAAGGCUGCAGGCAACGGGACACGAAAUUGUACACAUAUGUGUUGAUCAAGAUAAUAUAACCAACCAAGCACAUAUUAUAUACCCCCAUGCCUCGUUUAAUUCCUAUCAGAAAUUGUUUCGUGUUCGCUAAUUUAUUCAUCCACUUUCCAGCAUGUGAAUCGCUAUUAAUUUAUCAUUGCACUAUCAAAAUGUCUGUUCAAGAUAGGUUCAUGCCACAGCAGGAAAACAGAUGCCAUUCAGCAAAACACUCAAUCUACUUUCAAUAAUUACCAUAUAUCUCCAAUGUAUAGAGCUUAAAUGAAUGCUCUUGUUUAAUUUCUUCUGAAAACACUUAAAAAUGAACAGGAAUUAUUUUUUUACAUUUUGACAAAACGAGGUCGCACAAUGUAAAAUUGUGAAAAUCAAUACUGGGAGAAAAGAUGCAUAGUAAAUUCAAAGCAUGGAGAAGGUCCCUUUUUCAGCACUAUGGCGGAAGGAAAAACAAUUACCGUAUGUUGUUAGAACUAAAUUCCUUCUUUUUGUUUCUGAAUAUAGAGGCUGUUCACGUACUGAAGACCCUUCAUUUGACUAAAUACUCACGAGUAGUUGAAUGUUAGAAACUUUUUAUUAUCUAGUUCAUUUAGAUAAUCUUUAGAAAAUAUCAGAAACUAUUUGAACACAUACCACCUUGAAGGAUUCAGUUGAUUUUCGUUUUCUAAACAUAAAUUUGUGUCAAAUAUACAUUAAAUUAUCAAAAAAUGAAAAUAAAUAGUUCAAUAAUAUAAUGCGUUUAUUUUUAGACAAAGUACGCUUUAUCUCUGCAUAAACUUGAUAGUGUUAAUCAGAUAUUGAUUUCAUGUAUCAAUUUUGAAUGAUCUGUCAUUAAUGGGUAUCUGUUAAUGUCCAACAUUCAAUGACAUUGGCACUAUUAAGAGGCAUCUUGACAGUUUUAUCCUUAUCCAAAUCAAGCGAUAUAUAAGUCUUUGUUUAUUUAUUGUUAGUUACACAAAAUAUCAUUGUGGGUGACACGGUGCUGCUAUCACAAAUGGAAAAUGUAAUCUAACGAAAAUCCACAGAACUUUUUUGAAAAAAUACAUGUAUGAGGUUGUUGACUUUAAAUAUUUCAAAGCAAAACCUUUUAUGACUAUGAUAACAAAUAUGCCUUAUUCCCUUGACAAUGUAGUACGAAUUAUAGAGCUAAAUGACAGUUAAUUGUGUGUUUACUUAGGUGAUGUGGCAACAAAUUUUAGUUGGUUGUGGAAGACAUCAGCUGCCACUCUGGGAUUUGUUACAGACGCGGGCGGGUACCUGUGUAGAAUUACCGUCCUUCCGUAAGUCAUCUAGGCGGCUUAUCUCAAACAAGAAUUCGGCUUCUUAAGUGAGCUUUCCAAGGCUCACAGACAUGCGUCGGCUUGUACCUGGUACUAUGAUGUGAGAAAAAGAAGUCACAAUUACUAGUUUUGAUGUAUUCUGUUGGUUGACUCGAAACACGUUAGGAGAUUGUGAAAUUCCGCAACAAUAAAAACAACCGAUGGCCGGACAAUCGAUGUAAGCCAUGAAGGCUAUAUGUUUUUGAUGAAAAUUAAUUUGUCAUCAUAUAAUUUUAUACGGAAUUACAUAACUGAAACUUUAUUCAAAGAUUACUUCUGCAAGUUAAAUUUAUAUUUUAAUCUAAAAAUUUCAAUAUAUUAUUAAAGCACUUCAAAACUGAUAACCAGCAAGGGCAUAUUUCUGAAAAGUUAAUAAGUUUCAUUUUUAUGCUAGGUUCUCGACUUUGUUCUGGUUUUCUGCCUAUUAAUAAACAGAUAAGCACGUUUAAAAAUUCAAGUUAAAAUUACUAUUGUAAAGUGUCAUCAAUUUCUGUUUUUUUUUUGUUGGGUUUAACGCUGCACCGACACAAGUAUAGGUCAAGUGUCAUCAAGGUAAUUUUAACGGGACACAUGGCCUUCGUGCCUUUUUUUUGUUGUUGUUUAUUCUUUUGUUUUUUGUGUGUGUAGAAUUCAAAGAUAAAACAAUAACAAAUGAUAGAUAUGUCGGAGUCUGUUCAUCGAAAGUAAUCCUUUGCUCUGGUUUACAAUUAGCGGUUUUGAUUUUUUCAAAGCUCGUGAAUCAACCAGUUUAAAGGUUAAGCCAAAUGUUUAUUGGAUCAAGUCGUCUGAUUGUUUCAAAUAAAAUGAAAGCAAUUGAUGGAAAUAAAAUACACAAUUAUACAGAAAGAUGAAUUUGAAUGGGUCGCUAUCAGGAAUCUUUAUCCUACUUAAACCCUUCGGGCCAUUAACAGUGUUUCUUUGAUGCUUUGUGUUUGUUUUGUUUUUUGCAAAGUCACUGAGUACUGACGUUUUUUUAUUCUUAAGGGUUUUAUUUAUUUAAAUUUACAAAAGCAAUUUUAUGUUAUACAUGCCAUGACUUUUGUUACCAGUGCGUGUGACAGGGUUUCCCCUGGUGGGAAUAAUGUUUUUUUUUAUUGACCUGUGAGUUUGGAACAUUGGUAAGAGUGAGAUGAGGUGCGCACCGUUUAAGCACCCAGUAUUUUGCCACUGAUCGUUCCAAGGCGGUCUACCCACCCCUGUAUUCCUUUUAAGUGCGGUUGUCCUGGUGUAUUUCCUUUGUUUUCGUUACUUUUUUCAAAAAAUAAAUUUAGAACAUCAGGGAAAUCAUAUGCAUAAGUGUAACUAAAGCAAGGGUCACUCAUUUUUUCAAUAAUUUUGUACCUAUGCAUUUAUUACGAUAUUCUUAGCUCCAGUUAACAAAAAUUUUAUAUAAAAAUGAUUCAAAUGUUCAACAUAAUAAAUUAAAUUAGUUUUUAAUCAUUGAUUAAUAGUACAAAGAUAAUGCGACAAGGUUUGAGCACGUCCAUGAUUUAUCUACCAAACUGCAUAAAGCAGACGUUUAGAGUCUUAGUAUGUCUCCUGUCAUCAUACAACAUAGAUAUCCUUUACACAAGCUGUAUUUGAACUACACUCCAUUACUACUGUGAUUAUAUCAAUUAGAAAUUGUGUUGUUUCCUAAAGUGAAGAGAUGCUCUAUUUUUAGGCUUAAUUCCGUAUGUUAAUGAUGCAUUAUCAAUGGUUUUUUUUUAUCUUAAUGUAAAGGCAUCUUGGACCUUCUGAAAAAUAUGAAAAACUGACUUUCAAUUUUACUACUUAUAAAAAUAUUAUGAAAUGUUGUAUUGAAGGUAACGCAUGGUAGUUCCGAGAAAUAAUCCGUUUUAAAUGUCAUGUAAGGUAAUUUUAAAAUUGAUUUUUUUAAAGAUUCUUUCUUUUUAGACCAUAAUACAGAGUUUUCAUCCAUUUCGGUUAUAUUCGAAGCAAAAUGUUGAUAUGGAGAGACGCAAAAACUUUUUCAAUGAAUGCAUAUGUACCAAAUUAAUGAAAUGAUUCUGUACCUGUUAAGACAGUACGCUAAUAUUUUACUUUCAAAUGACAGAUUAUAAAAGACAAAUGGUCAUGUAUGUUUAAAUUUAGUCGAUACACCGAAGUAGAAAUAUAUGUAUUAUAUUUUCCUGUGAGAACGCAAUUUUUAAAUUAGCGUUUUUCCGUGAAAAGUCAUUUCAAAAUUAACGACUGCCGUGUAAUUUCCCUAAGGUAUCUGAAAAUGUAUUAUUAAUGCACUUUUAUACUUUUAUAUGUUAAUAUGAUACAUGUAUAUUAGAUGACGUUUAUCGUUUUUACUCCAGAGAAAGUUACUGUAAUCAUAACGAUUGUAAAUAGCAUUGUGUUUGUAUUUUGAAGAAGAAUUGACGUACAUGUCACAUACAGUACAGAAAACAUGAUACAGUAUAGUUCGUUUAGUACUGCGCCGUGUUCUUGUCAAAUCAAGAGGGCUUUAGGCGGAACAAAGGGACACUGCUGUGAAAUUAUUUCAAAAUCAAGUUUGAAAGGAAAUGGUGUUUGAAGAUUAUUAUAUUUUUAACAUUCGCCAUGUUUUUUGACAAACUAUUAUUAUAUCAAAAAUCUUAGUAAACAGUCGCCCAAAGAAUGUUUCUGUGAAAUUAUUUUUUCCCCAGAUUUUUCUAUAUUCAGCUCCCAUGAAAAUUGUUUCAGGAAGAAUCCAAAUAUUUAGAAUAAUCUUGGUAUAGAGUAACUGAAGAUCAUUUGUGCAAACUUUUCUUGAAAUCAGACCAACAGUUACUGACAAGAACGUUUGUACAAUUUUCAAAACAUACAUAUAGGGAAAAGUUACCACACUCUCAUGGUGGCUGUUAAUGACAAAUCAAACUGAUUUGUGCACCCUUGAUUGAAGGUUACCCAAUGAAUGUUUGUGUGGAUUUCUUUCAAAGUCGGGAAAUUAGUUUUGGACAUGCACUUUCUUUACAGUAUCAUGAGUAUAAACUGUACACUUAUAGUCAACUGGCCGCCAUGUUUUGAAACCGUGCAGACAAAGGAGUUGUUUCAUGAGUUAGUUCACACAAUAACUUUAAUUUUGCUUAUACAUGCAACCACAAUUAUAGCUUUUGAAUUUUAUGUUGCUUAUCUUAUCUACCCUCAGAUUAUCUUCUAAUGUUUUGAUAGAUUUAAUCAGAAUUACAUUUCAGUUGUUGAUGUGUAGCAAAUUGAGUUGUAUGACGGGGCCAUAGUCACCAUAAGUUGUAUUCACAGUCGUUGAGAAUAAUACAAUCUCUGAAUGUCGAUGGAAUGAUGUAAAAUAUCACAGAUGUUCAUUAUGAUAUAUAAUUACCGAUAGGGUCAAGCAUGCGGAAUAAAGAAAUGUGAAGAGAUAAUUGCAGCUACUUUUUGACAGUGUAUAAAUUAAAUUAGGAAUGGCAGUCAGAUUUUAAAAAGAUAAAAGGUAAGGGUAGAUUUCCCGGAAGCACGGAGCACCCCAAACACAGCCAUAGAGCCAUGCAUCGCAAAGUAGGCCCACAACAUAAAGAAGCUUUAACGGAAAAAUAUUGUAGACGGGUUGCUUCAAAAAUCCAACAACAAAUACAUUAUAAAUAUAUGCAAAAUACAGCAAAAAUGGGGGUGGGGUGGAAAGGGAUAGAUAAAAGGGUUGGAUGUUUGGGGAAGGUGGAGCAAGGAUGAAUAUGUAACGGAAAGCCACGUUCCUUAAACGCAGUAUUCCUACAACGUCGCAGACACGCUCGUACAAAAGACACACACACACAGACUCACAGCUAACAUACACAGAUAAACAAACAGACAAGUAAGAAAAACAACACUGUGGGGCGCCGCCCACGACAAACACGCACAAAAUGUUUAACGUUAUAUUAUCUAUUAUCAUUUCCAAUCAUUUUGAUCCUCAAAUCAAAAAUCGCCCGAUUCAAUAUACUCAUUAGAACAAUAUAUAUACUUCAACUUAUUAAAAAUGACAAAC